rnacentral:rRNA from 1 species
GACGAACGCUGGCGGCGUGCUUAACACAUGCAAGUCGAACGGAAAGGCCCUGCUUUUGUGGGGUGCUCGAGUGGCGAACGGGUGCGUAACACGUGAGUAACCUGCUCUUCACUUUGGGAUAACUUCAGGAAACUGGGGUUACUACCGGAUCGGAGCUCCCGCUGCAUGGUGGGGGUUGGAUAGUUUGGGCGGGUGGGGAUGGACUGGCGGAUUACCCGUUUGUUGGUGGGGUAGUGGACUGCCAAGGCUUUGAAGGGUAGCAGGCCUGAGAGGGUGAACGGUCAAAUGUCCACUGGGAGGCAGCAGAGACGAAUACUGGACGAAGCAGGGAAGAAUGGCACAAUGGGCCGAAGCCUGAGGAAGCAACGCCGCGUGCGUGAUGACGGCCUUCGGGGUGAAAACCGCAUUCGCCUGAGACGAAGCGGGUGUGACGGUAAUGGGAAAAGAAGCACCGGCUAACUACGUG